CUCUCUAAGAUAACCAGUUCAGAAAGAAUGCAUUCAUUGUUGAAAUCCAUUCUAUAUGUUAGAACGACAAGAUGUAAAAGGAAAAGAAAUGCUAUGAAUAUUUUGGAGUCAACAAGCAUCAAGAGUAAAUACUUCAUCAUCCAUCAAGCUUAAUUUUGGAAAUGGAGAAAGGAAGCAUUAAUUUUCAAUAAAGCUGUCUGUCUUAGGCCUGUUAUGAGCAAAUUAAUAUUUGUACCCCAGUAUUUAAUUGCUAGAAUGCUUCUGGGAGAGACCUGCAAAUAAAAUUAUCAAAUCAAUCUGUUAACAAGUGGGAGAUAAAUUUAAACUUAGAGCCAAACUGUGCAGCAGAUAGAUCACAGUAUUAAAUAUAUACCACACACUUUUUGCUUCAAGGUUUUAACUGUAAAUAUUAACAUUUACUUGCAUAUAAACCUCAACAGCCAAUUAGAACUUUUUGAUACAGAAUCAGAAGUUGCAACUUUCCAAGAACCAGAGGAUAGGGGGUCUAGUGGUGUGAUAGUUUCAACUUUAAAACACAUAGAAUCGAGUGCUUAUCUUUAUUGCCUUAUGUUUUAAGACUGCACAAUCUAUAUCUAAACUACCAGCACUAAUAAAUUUAAAUCAGUUGUAAAACUUACUGAGCAUGCAUGAACAUGAACUUGAAAACUUUACAUUCAUGACCAACUGAUUCCUAAGUCCUAGCAAAUCAACAUUAACCUUUAAACCUCUCUCUCUCUCUCUCUCUGUGUGUGUGUGUGUGUGUGUGUGUGUGUAGUANNNNNNNNNNNNNNNNNNNNAACCUUACCUCUCUCUCUCUCUCUGUGUGUGUGUGUGUGUGUGUGUGUGUGUGGAUGUAAAUAUGAUUGCUCAUCAGCAUUUCAUAUCAUAAAUCCCGUUCUUUUUAAACAACCAACAUAAUUGCAUAGUUUAUUUGAACAAGUAGAAUAAUACAAAAAAGAAAGAAAAGGAAAACAAAAGCACAAUGUCUGCUAUUGGUGUAGAUAGGUUAGUCAAGAUUAUAGCUUCAGUCUCACAAAGACCAAUUAAAAAAAAAAAAUCAAAAGAUGCUGAAGCUGAUGCUGUUUCAAGAGACAUUGCAUAUUCUUUUGUAAUAUGCAUUGUAUCCUACCUAAACAUUUAAAAAAAAAGAUAAAUUAUAUCUCUAGUCCUUAAACUAUAUCAGAUUUUUUUAAAUGAUCCCUAAACUAUAAAAAUCUAAACUUUGGUCCCCAAACUUUCUAAACCGUUUUAAUGUUGCCCUUCGCCCAUUUCCGAUGCCUUUUUCGCACCGAAAAUCCUAUAAGGCAAUCACCGACGCUGAUCUGAAAUAAAAAAAUAAAAAACCUCUCUCCCUCUCUCUCUCACGACCCCCCUUCCCUCCUAUGACCGCGCCACCGCCCUUCUCCGCUGCAGCCCCCCGGCCACCCCCCACCUUGUGCUCAUGCCGUCCCAUGCCCCCCUUGCCGCCCCUCUCCACCGCAGCCCCCACCACUAGUGCCUGUCUCUGCCCCCCUGCCGUCUCUCUCCACCAUAGCCCCCAGCCCUCGUACUCCCCUCCCCAAUUGGCGCUCGUGCCCCACCCCUCCCCACAUGCUCGUGCCACAUCCCCACCCCCUUCCCUGUCUUCUCCAUCAAAGAAUUAAGACCUGAUUGCCGGUGAUCGUCGGAUUUUUUGCGAAAGCCUUUCACCAUGUCCACCUCAAUUUCUCACUGCAGCCAUCACCAAAACUCAAGGUAAGCCCCGAAUCCUCUUCUUCCCCUUCCUUCCCUUGCCUGUGCACACAGCCACGACCGCUGGCUUCAUUGGAAAACCGAGAUCAAAGUCUCCCCUUUUUUUUUGUGUUCAGCCCUUUUCUUUUGGCUUUUUCCGAUGCCGAUGGUCACCGCCGACGUCGGUUUGGGUUCCCCGAACUGCACUGUCGCAGUCCUAUGUGACACCGGCCACCGACGAUAGCCGUGGUAACAUGACAAAAAAAAAGAAAAGCUCUUCCCCUCCCUCCAUGGCUGUUUCUUCCAUCCCCCCCUGGCCCCCUUUCUUCCGCUUCCCCAUUGGCCCUGGCUCCCCUUGCCCUUCCUUUCCCCUCCUCCACCGCCGUCAUUGCCAUCGGAUUUCCCCUUCGUUCUCCAUCCGGGGUGGAUUCCGCCUCCAUCUAGGAGUCGGUUGAUCGAAAGGAGAAGACUCCUUACAAGAGUCUUCUUCGUUCUUUUUUUUUUUGGUUACUUUGCAAUUCGUGCUUCGCCACGUAAGCACACCAAUGCCACCUCUUCAAAAAAUAGCUGCAUUAGUACCGAUUCAGCGAGAAACAACUAAAUCGGAGUGAGAAAAGCACCGAAAAUCAGUCGAAGGGCAACAUUAAGAUGAUUCAAAAAGUUUGGGGACUAAAGCUUAGGUUUUUAUAGUUGAAGGAUCAUUUAAAAAAUCUGAUAUAGUUUAAGGUCCAAAAACAUAAUUUACCCAAAAAAAAAAAGAAAAAGGUUCUACUUGUCCAUGACAAAAGUGACAAUUCUCUUGCUGCUUACUAGUUGUAGUCAUGAUUGCUCCCAACAAAAUAAAUAAAUAAAUAAAUAACUAAAAUCAUUGCAAGGAAUUCAAUACAAAAGAGUCAUUUAUGCACAAGAAAAUCCAUAAAAUUCAAUACCUAACAAAAGAAUAUGUAUCUUAACAGUAAGUGGGCCAAUGAGUUGCAUGUCUAGACUGAAAUGAAGAAGUGAAGAUCAAAAAAAAAAAGAAAAAAAAGAAAAGGCCGCCUAGUGCAGAAUGGUCCCAUCAUUGCAGGAUGUAGAGCAAGCUUUUCCAUACCAAUCGGUAUCGAUGCAUACUGACCAUACCAUCCUCUACUAGCACCAUAUCAGUACAAGGCAUGGAGGGAGUACCGACACUCAAUACACCAAACCAACCUCCCAUACUGAUUGUACGGAUAUUAUAAUAAGAUGAUAUCAAUACAGGGUCCAAUACCGAGAUAGCAAACCUUGGUCUAGAAAGUAUCAAAUUUAUGCAGCCUUACUCCCAUGUGUGGAGAGAUUGUUUUCAUGUUUUGAAUCUAUGACUUCUAGGUCAGAAUGGAGCAACUUUACCAUUACACCAAGACUCAUGGGUGGGAGUGAAGAUCAAUUAUACAGAAAUUCAAAUUUAUUCUCCCACAAUUCACUUCACAAAUUUGUUCUAGGAAUGCUUACUACAAGAGUUUCCUACAUUUAUUUAGUGAUUUCAGUGCAAAUUUUCUCAAAGAGAAGCAAGAUUCAUCAGGCCAUCUAACCAAUAGAGCCACAGAGUAUCUUCAAUGAUUGUGGUAGUGUGGUUGCCAAACAGAUAACUGAAGGAAAAACAGACUACCAUGCAAGCAUCACAAACAGAUAGCUGAAAGAAAAUGGACAUAAUUAUGAAAGAAAAACCCACUAUAAAAGAAAAAAAAUGAAGGGAAAAAAAAAAACAAUCUUGCACUCAAAGUUUAACUUGUACUGAGGAAAAGGAGGCAACACUAGGGGAAGCUAAUAGUGGUGCCAAAAUUAAAUCAAAUAAAUUCACAGUAGUUUAGACAGGAACCUCCAUACCUUCUCAACAGCAGGACAAAGCAAUACAUGAAGAUAGCUCUUUGCUUCAUGAUCUCAUGAUUCUCAUCAAUGAAAUGCAAGAAUAUCCAGUUAGUCUAGCAUAUGCCUGUCCUUAUCCUUCAAC
rnacentral:lncRNA from 1 species